rnacentral:tRNA from 2 species
GCCCCGUAUAACUUCAUGGAGAAGUACUUCGAUAGAAAGGAGAUGAGUAUAGGUUUGAUUCCUAUUACGGGGCA